rnacentral:misc_RNA from 1 species
GAGAGAGAGAGAGAGAGAGCAAUCAUAUAUCCCAAAGCAGGUAGCAAGAAAUUUCAUUAACAGCAAUUAGAAAGAAUUGAUAGCAGGCUGACUAUGAGACUGGCCAAUAAAGAUAGCAACGUAAAAUGGCAGGACUGAUGAGAUGAAGUAUACUCUGUAUACUGCUGAACAACCAGAGAAGCAUAAUAUCCUGCCAAGAUCACACAUAUCUUGUCCUCUCCAGCUGCAUUUCCACGCCAUGAUCACGCAGUUCUUCCUUCUUCAACAGCCGAUAAAUAGUAUAACAAAAUAUUCUCAAGCAAAUGAGAAUGGCUAUGAUCACCAGAGCUGAUAGGACAUAGCCUGUGAUGGAACGGGAGUGUUUGCACCCAACAAGAACUCCUAGGCACACCAUGGUUAAAACGUAUGCUACUUACAAGCUCUCUUGGAUGUGUUCUUGAUGGAUAUCGGAAUACAACGCCACUUUAUUCUUGGGUUCUUUCCUUUCCUUGACUAAAUUCUAUACUGCAGAUGAUGAACACACUCUCUCUAUAUAUGGUUUUCCUGGUGUAUUCUUGUCUUGAUUGAAAUUGUUAGCACGCUUCUAUUUCAAGUUUGGUAUCUUUAUCUCUAAGGUUACUGUAAAGAGCAGAAAAAACAAGAAUCUGCAGAGAACCAACUUCAGAAAAACAAGAAUCUCUCUCUCUUAAGCAAAGCCUAGAAUCCAUCCCAGCUUUUUGCAUAGAUUGAUUUACAUAUUCUCUUCUAGUACAACGUUCAUCUUUGAAAACAUUAAAGUAAUUACCACCUUUUUAUUUCUUCGUUAACAAUUUCACUUUAUUGUUCAAGAAGUUGAAUUUUUUUUCUUUUAUUCCCUUUACACUGCUAUAAUAUAAUUAAUGCCAACGGUUAGGCUUCGACUUUCAACUUUCAUGUUUCUAGUUACAUACUUGAGUUGCUUUUCACUGAUCCAUUUUGGCCGUCUUUUCGGGGGGUCUGAAGCACGGGCGGUUUACGGCCCAAGUCUCAGUUACUCUCAGUCAUGCCUCUUCCUUUGGCUGUACACCCAGAAUUGAUUGAUAGCGACUCAAUUUUCAGAACUCCAUAUUGGGAAUUAGUGAUGCUUCCCCUGGAUGAGACCGUAGAAAAUGAUUCCAAUGAAAAUCUUUCUGACAAUGAAGAUAAGGACCAAGAGUUGAGUUAAGGAUAUGAUGUUGCAGUUGAACUUAAAGU